UACGUAGGGUGCAAGCGUUAAUCGGAAUUACUGGGCGUAAAGGGUGCGCAGGCGGUUCUGUAAGUCAGAUGUGAAAUCCCCGGGCUUAACCUGGGAAUUGCGUUUGAAACUACAGAGCUGGAGUGUGGCAGAGGGGGGGUGGAAUUCCAUGUGUAGCAGUGAAAUGCGUAGAGAUAUGGAAGAACAUCGAUGGCGAAGGCAACCCCCUGGGUUAACACUGACGCUCGAUGCACGAAAGCGUGGGGAGCAAACAGG
rnacentral:rRNA from 1 species